rnacentral:rRNA from 1 species
UAAUACGGAGGAUCCAAGCGUUAUCCGGAUUUAUUGGGUUUAAAGGGUCCGUAGGCGGGUCUUUAAGUCAGUGGUGAAAGCCUGCAGCUUAACUGUAGAAUUGCCAUUGAUACUGAAGACCUUGAGUGUAGUAGAAGUAGGCGGAAUAUGGCAUGUAGCGGUGAAAUGCAUAGAUAUGCCAUAGAACACCGAUUGCGAAGGCAGCUUACUAUGUUACAACUGACGCUGAGGGACGAAAGCGUGGGUAGCAAACAGGAUUAGAUACCCUGGUAGUCCACGCCGUAAACGAUGAUUACUCGCUGUUAGCGAUAUACAGUUAGCGGCCAAGCGAAAGCAUUAAGUAAUCCACCUGGGGAGUACGCCGGCAACGGUG